rnacentral:rRNA from 1 species
GUAGGUGGCAAGCGUUAUCCGGAUUUAUUGGGUUUAAAGGGUGCGUAGGCGGUUUGAUAAGUUAGAGGUGAAAUACCGGGGCUUAACUCCGGAACUGCCUCUAAUACUGUUGAACUAGAGAGUAGUUGCGGUAGGCGGAAUGUAUGGUGUAGCGGUGAAAUGCUUAGAGAUCAUACAGAACACCGAUUGCGAAGGCAGCUUACCAAACUAUAUCUGACGUUGAGGCACGAAAGCGUGGGUAGCAA